AGAAGGAUAUGAAGCAGGUGUUCAGUGUGACUCUGAACGAGGAUCAACAGGUCAGGAACCUGAAACCAGCUGUGGUCAAAGUCUACGAUUACUACCAGACAAGUGAUCAGGCUGUUAUUGAGUACAUAUCCCCCUGUGCUGAGAGCAACAACGCCAACAAGGUGUGAAUGAAGAGAUGUUACUCGUCUUCGUUCAGAGGAAUCCCUGCCAAA